GACGAACGCUGGCGGCGUGGAUUAGGCAUGCAAGUCGAACGGUAUCAUCCUUUCGGGGGUGAGAGAGUGGCGAACUGGUGAGUAACACGUAGGUUAUCUACCCUCAAGACGGGGACAACCCAGGGAAACUUGGGCUAAUACCGGAUGUGAGCAACUUUUAGUUGUUUGAAAGGUGGCGUAAGCUGUCGCUUGGGGAUGAGCCUGCGUCCUAUUAGUUAGUUGGUGAGGUAACGGCUCACCUAGGCAAUGAUAGGUAGGCGGCCUUAACGGGUGGUCGCCCACACUGGGAUUGAGAUACGGCCCAGACUCCUACGGGAGGCAGCAGUCGAGAAUAGUCUACAAUGGUCGGAAGACUGAUAGUGCGACGCCGCGUGAACGAUGAAUCCCUUCGGGGUUAAAGUUCUUUUAUAUGUGAGCAGUGCUUCUUAUAUUAACAGUAUGGGGAAGAUAUUAGCAUAUGAAUAAGCAACGGCUAACUCCGUGCCAGCAGCCGCGGUAAU
rnacentral:rRNA from 1 species